UGAAAGCACAAUGAACAUCUCCUAUAAUUUAUGUUCAUUUGCAUUUUUUCUCAGUUUCUCUGACAUAGAUUUGAUACCAGCAUCAAGGCUAGCUUUGAAAUCUUCUUGCUCCCUAUUCUGCUUUAUCGUAUAUCGAUUCUCAUUUUAUUUCUCACGAGUAAAAUUUGCUUUCUAUCAAGUCAAUGAAAUCGAAUGGAGUUAAUGAAUAUGCUGUCAUUAAUGAAUUGCAGAUUGUUACUAAAAAAAUGUUCUUUUUUUUUUCUUGCUCUAUUCAAGUCAGUUUCCUUUGAAGUAUGAAGUGAUUUCAUCAUUCAAGUGAAAGGAAGCAGAUAUUUGCUUCACAAGGUACACUCAUAAAGUUCCUCACAGAUUCCAAUUGUCACAGGGUUUCCACUUCUGUCAAAGUGUUUAAGGCUGCAGACGCUCUGCAGUGGAGUUGAGGCAUUCGAGCACGGCACAAAAUUCUGCUAUGGAAUCAAAAUUACCCUCAAUGCCAUUGUAUAAAGCACGAAGAAAUUCUACCCCGCGGCAUCGCGCGGGUUCUCAUUCCUAGUGAGAACAGAGAGGUGGUGUUUGGGGGUAAAGAUGAAAUAUCCUCACUGAACAAGGAUAUAAUUAAAGAUGAAACUCGUGAUGCUACACAUGCUUCUAGUCGAGUGGGAAGCAUGCUUAUCCCAUAAAAUUAAAAUCUUUUACCUGCACUGUGUUUGUUUUUCCUUUUCUCUGUAGUUUGUAUAUUUGCUGUUUCUAUCUAGCCAAAAGUGCCAACCUUGGUAUUACUCCUCACUUUUUUUGUUUUUUAUUUAUUUUUAUAUUUUUAUAUUUGGAAUUAAAAACACAAUUAAAUGGUUAAUUAAGUAGAAAAGAUGGUUAUGGAGUAUUGGAUGGCAUCUAGUGCUAAACUAAUAAGCAUAUUACGGGAUUAAAAAUAUCCGUCACUGAGUUGAGAGGGAAGGAUCGAGGAAGACAGUAGUUCUUUCUGUUGUCUGGUUCCAAGAACCUUCAGCUCCAUGAUAAGGAGCAAUUAUAAUUCCAAUGUUCCAGUGCAAUAAGCCAUUCAAGGGGUAGAAGGGGAAAUACUUAAUUGUGGAAUACAAGGGGUGCAACAGUAGAUCACUUUGUAUUUGAAGGCUAACUUUCCUUGUCCAACCCUUCUAUACUUGCAUUUUGUUCUUCCCUCCAUGAUAAAUUGUGGAAUACUUGAUUUAAAUCAAGAUUAAAUUUGUGAAAACUUAUUGGAAUGUAGAUUUUACAUUAACAGGUGUAUGACUUAUUCCACUGAGAAAAUAGAAAACGGGGAUGGGGGAAAAGCUAGUUCUCUUGAAAUGGGACAUGAUGAAUAUAACAUUAUUUUGUUAGACGAAGAGUAAAUAUUCUGCGUCAACGUUUAGACUAUGAAGAUACAUAAUUGCUCUUAAGUCGGUCUUGCCGCACCUUAUCUGUGUAUCUGUUGGUCUUUUUACUAGGUAAAAACCCUUAUGCAAUGUCUGUCUUAAGACGAGUUGAGAUGAAACUAGAUGGUCGAGAUAUAUCCAACAACAGAGAAAUUAGUAUCUCCGAACAAGUGGACUAUCUACUUAAGCAAGCCACUAGUGUAGACAAUCUUUGCAACAUGUAUGAAGGUUGGACACCAUGGAUUUGAACUUGUGAAGCUACUGCCUUCUAUAUGUAUGAGGCGGAUUAAUUGAGAAUGGGGUUGGUUACACCGGGCAAGGGAUUAAUUGCUUCAGCAAUCCCGUCUCUUUUGGCAUCAUAUCUCCUGAUCAUUUAAAUGAGCAAUGGUGAUUAUUUCAUAAGAAAUUGGCCGUCAAUGUCUAAUAGCUGCAGUUGUUGGUGAUAUCUGGUUCAUUAGACCUUGCCUUUCUGCAAUGGCCAGCUGUGUCUUUGGUGGAGGAUAACUUGAAAUUUUUCAAGUGUUAUCUCCCUCUAAAUUGUGGUGUCUUGGGUGAGAUUAUGCAUGUCGCACGAGAAGUAGUCUCAUGUGGAACACUGGAACUCGUGUUGGUUCGUAUUUGGUGAUUGCUAAGCAGUCUUCCCUGCUUUAAUGCCCUAUAAAGAUGGUACAACUUCGCAGCCACCAUUGUGGCAGAUUGGCAGGAGAAUGCCAUGCGAAGCACUUUGAAGAAAAUUUCAGAUUUUAGCAGCGAGGUGGCCUGGUGUAACACAGUUGUCCGUCUGAGUUCAAUUCUCAGUAUCAUGAGAAGCACUGCCACUGCCCACAAGGAGUCUGUAUCACAAGUUUACUACCAAUGCAAUCAGCUCACUUUUGCACAGGUUGCAUUUGGUUUAGAAGAUCUUACCUCAGCAUACAGGAAUAUCAGAAGUAUCAAACAUCCACAAUAUAGGAAAUUCUUGAUUUCGUCAAUGACAUCUGCCGACCACCUCUUCCUUUCUAGUCUGAGAAUUUCUUUGUUUGAUAAUAAGUUAAGAAUGUAGCAUUCUUAUUAAAGAGAGGUCAAUUGCUAAAUAAGGUUCUCUGUGAUAUACCUUUUACAUUACAAAUGAUAUUUAGUCUCGGGUAAUGGGUAUGUCCUAGGUAAAUUGGUAAAUCAAAUUUGUUGGUCCAAAAAAAUUCCUAGUCUUAUUAUAAAGGAAUUUUUUUACAAGUCUUCGACUGGAGGGCAGUGAAGAAGUAUAGCUUUCUUGGUAAUGACUAAUGGCCCAGUUUCUAUCCAUUCAUUCUUAAAAAAUGGUAAUACCACUAGCUGGCUGUGGUUUCGGACUUUCUCGACUUUGGAUAAGAAACAAGAAACUUGACACAUCACGUAACCGACCAAUGUGGUUGCUUGUUUCUAUCAAAGCCAACAGGCAUUUCUUCUUCAAGCGUGCCUGUACUGUGUGAAGCAUUCUUAUAUAAAUAUCGACCAUACCUUACCUAGUUCUUAACUUCAAAACAAUCCCAAGUUUCAGAACAAUAUCUCACUCUCUAAUUUCGGGAAGUACUUGAAGUUGAAGAUUUCUCUAUCUUUGAUCUAUACUUGUUGGAGAUUUCGAGUCAUGUCUGCGCUGGUGGAGAUGUGGAGUAAUGAGACCAAGGAGCAGAGCCAGAAGGAUCAAACCCUUUCGUCGAAUGCCUCGGCCUCAUCAAGCACUAAUGUUGGGGUUAACCAAGCGAAAGGAAGGAUGAACUCGUCAACCUUGUUAGCUCCUGUUUUCGACAGAGUCGUGCGUGUCAACUCACUUUUGACACACUAUUCGUCUGAAGCCUCAGUUUCCAUGCUUCUAGAGUGGUUUAAGGGCUAAACGAUGGGUACGUAGUUGUGUCAAUUUAUUUCUUGAGCUUUUUGCUUAUUAUCUUUUUCUUUGCUUGACUUUCAAAUCAAUGACAGUGCUAAGGUUUGUAACAAUGAAAGUACAUGUGGUAAAUUUAAGACCCCA